AAUUUAUCCCAACCUGUUUCAUCAUUAGUCCAAUCUAUUAUUAUCAAAUGCUGUAAAAUGUUGUCUAAUUCGUGUACAAUUGAAGAAACAUUUGCAUCUUUUACAAUAACAACAAUUUUUUGCAAAUAAUUUGAAUAUUUUUCAUAUUUUACUCUUUCAAUUUCAUAUUGACUCCAGGAUUUAUCAUUGUAUAUAUCUGAAAUGAUAAAAAUUGCAUGUUUACUUCCCGCAAUGGCAUUUGCUAUUGCAUCUGCCUGCGAAAUUCCAAGCUCGAAAUCCCGAUCUUCUAGGCAUACGUUCAUUUUCCAUGAAUUUUCUAUUCGCGGCAGGAGAACUUCACGAACCCAUUGAAUUCUGUCAUCGGCAUAUGUCAAGUAGAUGUCAUAUCUAAACUUUCUUUCCAACCUUUUUUCUACUGCCUUCCUAAAAUUUUGGUAUACCCAAUAUGUGAUUUUCAAUCGAAAGUUAAAGAUAACGGCAAUAAUUAUAGUCAAACCAAAAAAGGAAACGAUGAGGCCAAUACCUAAACGUAACCAUUGUUUGCUAUCACACUUACCGAAAUGUUCAUGAAACCGGCUAUAAACAAACAAUGUAUUGGUUUCUGUUCCAUUUGUCAAAGUACAAUUGUAUCGUUUUUUGUUUUGAUCGAAACCAACUUUCGUGUUGAAUAACCAUUGAAUGAAAUCGGAUGUAUCACACGUACAUUUAAAACUAUUACCUUUUAUAAGUAGAAGAAACUUUCUACUUUCACUUUUCGAAUCAAGCCAGGUUCUGAAUGUUUUUCCAAUUGUCUGAAUUCGAUUAUAUCUGAUAUCCAAUCUAUUUAGGUGCGCUAAACUCAUCACUGCCUUUGGAAUUGUUGAUAGUAAAUUGUUUGCCAUGUUCAGGUUCGAUAGUCUUGUAUUAAACGAAAAAGAAUCAUCAUCCAGAUAUAACACAUUGUUGUAUGAUGUAUCAAACUUUUCAACAGUCGGGAAUAGUUUAAAUACAUUACCAUUUCUUCUAAUGGUUUCAUCAAUCAUUGUAUCCUUCAUAACUGCGGUUUCGAUAUUUUGAAAUAUAGGCACUGUUGAUUUGUGGAUAAAAAGCAUUGAGCUAACACCAGUUAAGUCCAAGUAUUUUAUGUUAAAUGGAGUGACGGAGUAUAUAUUUGGAAAAUAUGAAAUUUUCCAGUACGAUAAAUCCAGGUAUCUCAAAGUAUAUGAGUUUUUUACAAAGAAAUUUAGUCCAUACUCCAUAUAUGAUGUCAUAUAAUGCGAUAAUCGAAAAAAGGUAAGGUUUGCAGGCAUCGAAACAGUUAUGUUU
rnacentral:lncRNA from 1 species